GUGUUGCCCAAAUAACAAACCCUUUGCCUCUAUUGAACUUUUCUCUCUAACUCUUUGUAGCUUCUCUUCUAAAUUCUUCUUCUCACCAUCCCAUGUCAGAAAGGAACGGUGUCAAUGUAACAUACAUAAGAUAUUGUAGAUGCAGGCAAGAGGCACUAUUGAAGACUGCAUGGAUUAAAAAAAUCCAAGAAGAAGGUUCCUUGGAUGCAGUAAUUAUGGGACAUCCAAUUGCUACAGUUUUAUGAAAUGGUUGGAUCCAUUUGUAAACCCACACUCAAAAGUUGUGAUUGUUGGAUUAUUGAGAAAGCUCGAUAGAAUGGAGAAAAAGAAGGAAGAGGCUGAAGAGAGAAACAUGAAGAUGAAAUUCUUAUGUUUGAUGCUUGCUGCCUGUGUUUUUAUUCUGUUAAUAUUUUGUAGCUUUGUUGUGGGUAGAAUAUACAAGUAGGGAGGCCUACAAUUGUGUUAUAGGGUAUAUGUUAGAAAGAUUUAAUCCAUAACUGCAUUUUAUGCACUUGAUGGUUGUGUAUGUUUAUUAAAUGUAAUGAAAUUAAAACUUUUUUUUCUGGUAAA